rnacentral:rRNA from 1 species
UACGGCUCAGUAACACGUGGGUAAUCUACCCUCAGGACAGGGAUAACCCCGGGAAACUGAGAAUAAUACCCCAUAGGUCCAGAAUGCUGGAACGCUUCUGGGCCGAAAGCUCCGGCGCCCAAGGAUUGGUCUGCGGCCUAUCAGGUUGUASUGGGUGUAAAGGACCCACUAGCCUAUGACGGGUAUGGGCCUUGAAAGAGGGAGCCCAGAGAUGGACUCUGAGACAUGAGUCCAGGCCCUACGGGGUGCAGCAGGCGCGAAAACUUUACACUGCGGGAAACCGCGAUAAGGGGACCCCGAGUGCCAGCACCUAGUGCUGGCUGUCCAGCUGUCCAAAUAACAGUUGUUAGCAAGGGCCGGGCAAGACCGGUGCCAGCCGCCGCGGUAACACCGGCGGCCCGAGUGGUAGCCGUUAUUAUUGGGUUUAAAGGGUCCGUAGCCGGCCUAUUAAGUCUCUUGGGAAAUCUGGCGGCUUAACCGUCAGGCGUCCAAGAGAUACUGGUAGGCUUGGGACCGGGAGAGGUGGGAGGUACUCCAGGGGUAGGGGYGAAAUCUCGUAAUCCUUGGGGGACCACCGAUGGCGAAGGCAUCCCACCAGAACGGGUCCGACGGUGAGGGACGAAAGCUGGGGGCACGAACCGGAUUAGAUACCCGGGUAGUCCCAGCUGUAMACGAUGCUCGCUAGGUGUCAGGUGCGGUGCGACCGCAUCUGGUGCCGCAGUGAAAACUYGAAGCGAGUCACCCUGGGAAGUACGGUCGCAACGCUGAAACUUAAAGGAAUUGGCGGGGAAGCACUACAACGGGUGGAGCCUGCGGUUCAAUUGGACUCAACGCCGG